GACGAACGCUGGCGGCGUGCUUAACACAUGCAAGUCGAGCGGUAAGGCCCUUUCGGGGGUACACGAGCGGCGAACGGGUGAGUAACACGUGGGUGACCUGCCCUCAGCUCUGGGAUAAGCCUGGGAAACCGGGUCUAAUACUGGAUAUGACUCCAUGACGCAUGUUGUGGGGUGGAAAGCCUUGUGCGGCUGAGGAUGGGCCCGCGGCCUAUCAGCUUGUUGGUGGGGNGAUGGCCUACCAAGGCGACGACGGGUAGCCGGCCUGAGAGGGCGACGGCCACACUGGGACUGAGACACGGCCCAGACUCCUACGGGAGGCAGCAGUGGGGAAUCUUGCGCAAUGGGCGAAAGCCUGACGCAGCGACGCCGCGUGAGGGAUGACGGCCU
rnacentral:rRNA from 1 species